rnacentral:rRNA from 1 species
AGUAGUUUGAUCAUGGCUCAGGACGAACGCUGGCGGCACGCCUAACACAUGCAAGUCGAACGGAGAUAUUUUGGUUUACUGAGAUAUCUUAGUGGCGGACGGGUGAGUAACACGUGAGCAACCUGCCUCUGAGAGAGGGAUAGCUUCUGGAAACGGAUGGUAAUACCUCAUGACAUAACGAAGCCGCAUGACUUUGUUAUCAAAGAUUUAUCACUCAGAGAUGGGCUCGCGUCUGAUUAGAUAGUUGGUGAGGUAACGGCUCACCAAGUCGACGAUCAGUAGCCGGACUGAGAGGUUGAACGGCCACAUUGGGACUGAGACACGGCCCAGACUCC